UGCCUCUCCUCCUCCUCUUCCUCUCUCAGGAUGAAGAUGAUCUCCCUGCUGCUCCUCAUCCUCAGUUCGUGUCUCUGUGCAGCAACAUUUGUAGUGAAUGUGACCCAGAGCAGCUAUGAGGCAGAGGAGAACCACAGCAUCACUCUGGAGUGGACCUUCACCACCAGGACUCAGGGAUC